AAGACUCCGCCCCUGGGUUGGCGGACAGGAGAAGGAGCGAAGAUGGCGGAGUGAGGCGUGCCCCGGGCACUGGCCUGCGGGCCCGGGGCAGGCCCCCCGCGAGAAGCGGAGUGUGUGAGGAACCUUAUCACACAAGAUGAAUAUUUUCCUGACCUUAGGUGCUUUUAUAGUCAGCUCAACAUUCUGAACUCAGGACUUGGCAAGAAUUCCUGUGUGGACUGCUCCAUGAGGCGUCCUGGCUCUUCCAUCCCGUUACGUUCCCCAGUGAGAU